rnacentral:rRNA from 1 species
UACGAAGGGAGCUAGCGUUGUUCGGAAUUACUGGGCGUAAGGGCGCGUAGGCGGACAUCUAAGUCAGGGGUGAAAUCCCAGGGCUCAACCCUGGAAUUGCCUUUGAUACUGGACGUCUCGAGUUCGGGAGAGGUGAGUGGAAUUCCGAGUGUAGAGGUGAAAUUCGUAGAUAUUCGGAGGAACACCAGAAGCGAAGGCGGCUCACUGGCCCGAUACUGACGCUGAGGCGCGAAAGCGUGGGGAGCAAACAGG